rnacentral:rRNA from 1 species
UACGUAGGGGGGCAAGCGUUGUCCGGAUUUAUUGGGCGUAAAGAGCGUGUAGGCGGCCAAACAGGUCAGCUGUGAAAACUCGAGGCUCAACCUCGAGACGUCGGUUGAAACCGUUUGGCUAGAGUCCGGAAGAGGAGAGUGGAAUUCCCGGUGUAGCGGUGAAAUGCGCAGAUAUCGGGAAGAACACCCGUGGCGAAGGCGGCUCUCUGGGACGGUACUGACGCUGAGACGCGAAAGCGUGGGGAGCGAACAGG